rnacentral:rRNA from 1 species
AUUGAACGCUGGCGGCAGGCCUAACACAUGCAAGUCGAACGAGUGGCGGACGGGUGAGUAAUGUCUGGGAAACUGCCCGAUGGAGGGGGCUAACUACUGGAAACGGUAGCUAAUACCGCAUAACAUCGUCUGUGCCACGAUGGGAUUAGCUAGUAGGGGGGGUAAUGGCUCCCCUAGGCGACGAUACCUAGCUGGUCUGAGAGGAUGACCAGCCACACUGGAACUGAGACACGGUCCAGAUUCCUACGGGAGGCAGCAGUGGGGAAUAUUGAACAAUGGGCGCAAGCCUGAUGCAGCCAUGCCGCGUGUAUGAAGAAGGCCUUCGGGUUGUAAAGUACUUUCAGCGAGGAGGCGGUACUCGCAGAAGAAGCACAGGCUAACUCCGUGCCAGCAGCCGCGGUAAUUC